rnacentral:rRNA from 1 species
CGGACGGGUGAGUAACGCGUGAGAAUCUGCCCUUAGGACGGGGACACAGCUGGAAACGUCUGCUAAUACCCGAUGUGCCGAGAGGUGAAACAUUUUAUGGCCUGAGGAUGAGCUCGCGUCUGAUUAGCUAGUUGGUGGGGUAAGGGCCUACCAAGGCGACGAUCAGUAGCUGGUCUGAGAGGAUGAUCAGCCACACUGGGACUGAGACACGGCCCAGACUCCUACGGGAGGCAGCAGUGGGGAAUUUUCCGCAAUGGGCGCAAGCCUGACGGAGCAAGACCGCGUGCGGGAGGACGGCCUAUUGGUUGUAAACCGCUUUUGAUAGGGAAGAAGUUCUGACGGUACCUAUCGAAUCAGCAUCGGCUAACUCCGUGCCAGCAGCCGCGGUAAUACGGAGGAUGCAAGCGUUAUCCGGAAUUAUUGGGCGUAAAGCGUCCGUAGGUGGUUGUUCAAGUCU